rnacentral:sRNA from 1 species
AUAGAGGAGAUGAGUUAGAUUAUCGUGUCCCUCUUCCUCCCACAGUGAACAGCUGGGAAGUGGCUACUUUGGAUCUUAGUUUGGAUUCCCACAGAAGCUUGUGUUAAUCACCAUGAUCAAAGAAACAGAACCAACAGGACAAUGCUUAUGGAGUUAGCAUUUACCAAGUAGAGACCUAGAGAAGAUUUCAGUUUACUUUGAUCCAAGUCUGAUGGCCUGAGAUCCAGGAGCUGACAGUAUCAAUCUCAGCCUGAAGCUCCAGAUAUUAAUGAAGCCAGAAUUGCUGUUGGUUUUCAAACCCAAACACAAGUAAAUAGCUAUGUACACGUCAAGGGCGAUGCCUGGGAAAUCCUGGAUGUGAAAAUGUCAGCUCUAAGCCAAGGUUCUCCUAUGAGGCGGACAUGCGGCCACUGUGACUGUUUUUCCAGGGAGCAUUGAUCUGGUAACUAUUUCUAUGAGGGAUUGAGAGGAGGAGUGAAACCAAAAUGUUAUGUGGUUUCAUGAUUGUCCAGUUGCUUCCUCGUCAAUGUGACAAAAGCCACUUAAGGAGAAGGCAGGGAAGGAUUUACUUGGCUCACAGUUUGAGGGCACAGUCCAUCAUGAAGGGAAAUGUGUGCUGGGAGGAUCAAGAAGCACAUGGUCACAUUGCAUCCAGUGAAGAAUCAGAGACACUAAUUUUUAAUGCUAGUGUGUAGGAGAAUGGACUCAGGAGAAAAGGGGAGGAGGAAGAGAAACACCUUGUAUGAAUUUUGAUUGAAGAGAGUAUCCAAGACAUGGUCAAAUGAAUUUACUAACCGUCUCAACUCAGCCUCUUUCCACAUGAAAUGAGGGAUUUGAUACGACAGAUUACAGGUGAGUUUAAUUAAAGGGUAGUGGAGUACCAUGAGGAAUCUUGAAUCAAACAAAAACAUUUCCCGAGUAAAUGUUUGGAUGGCCACAU